rnacentral:rRNA from 1 species
UAGCCGGCCUGAGAGGGUGACCGGCCACACUGGGAUUGAGACACGGCCCAGAUUCCUACGGGGAGGCAGCAGUGGGGAAUAUUGCACAAUGGGCGCAAGCCUGAUGCAGCGACGCCGCGUGCGGGAUGACGGCCUUCGGGUUGUAAACCGCUUUCAGCAGGGAAGAAGCUUUAUUGUGACGGUACCUGCAGAAGAAGCGCCGGCUAACUACGUGCCAGCAGCCGCGGUAAUACGUAGGGCGCGAGCGUUAUCCGGAAUUAUUGGGCGUAAAGAGCUCGUAGGCGGCUUGUCGCGUCUGCUGUGAAAGCCCGGGGCUUAACCCCGGGUGUGCAGUGGGUACGGGCAGGCUAGAGUGCAGUAGGGGAGACUGGAAUUCCUGGUGUAGCGGUGAAAUGCGCAGAUAUCAGGAGGAACACCGAUGGCGAAGGCAGGUCUCUGGGCUGUUACUGACGCUGAGGAGCGAAAGCAUGGGGAGCGAACAGGAUUAGAUACCCUGGUAGUCCAUGCCGUAAACGUUGGGCACUAGGUGUGGGGGACAUUCCACGUUUUCCGCGCCGUAGCUAACGCAUUAAGUGCCCCGCCUGGGGAGUACGGCCGCAAGGCUAAAACUCAAAGGAAUUGACGGGGGCCCGCACAAGCGGCGGAGCAUGCGGAUUAAUUCGAUGCAACGCGAAGAACCUUACCAAGGCUUGACAUGGACCGGAUCGCUGCAGAGAUGUAGUUUCCCUUCGGGGCUGGUUCACAGGUGGUGCAUGGUUGUCGUCAGCUCGUGUCGUGAGAUGUUGGGUUAAGUCCCGCAACGAGCGCAACCCCUAUCCUAUGUUGCCAGCACGUGAUGGUGGGGACUCAUGGGAGACUGCCGGGGUCAACUCGGAGGAAGGUGGGGACGACGUCAAAUCAUCAUGCCCCUUAUGUCUUGGGCUUCACGCAUGCUACAAUGGCCGGUACAAUGGGUUGCGAUACUGUGAGGUGGAGCUAAUCCCUAAAAGCCGGUCUCAGUUCGGAUCGAAGUCUGCAACUCGACUUCGUGAAGUUGGAGUCGCUAGUAAUCGCAGAUCA